AAACAGGCAUCAGGGAGGACAUCCGCAGUGACGUCACACGGCGCGCCGCUGACUUUAGGAAAGACCCUUUGAACGGCGGGCGCGGAGUGUUCUUCCAGGAAGGGCGGAAGCAGGCUGCUGCUGCGUACAGUAUUCCCGGAGUGCGGCGCUACUGUGGCUUGAAGGUGGAAGUCGGGAUCGGCCUAACUUCGUCCGCUCAAGACACGGGCUGAAAUGAGAAUGAGAGAACCACCAAACAGUUUGGACGAAACAGCAAGAUCAUCGCAGUUAAUGGAGACCUGGCAUCUGGCAACUAGCACAGAACUGGCUGCCGGACUGGGGGAGAUGAUGCAGAAGUACCAGUUAGGAGAUUCCUGGGGGUCUGUAUUAUGGGAGGUCAGGGAGUGAUAUUGGGAGUGCUCUGCCUACAGCGAUGGCGUUUUCCUUGAAGCCAUGCAGAAGAACGGAUACAUCCGCAAGCAGUCUGCCGGGGGAAAGAUAUACCAAAGGAUACAAUGAAGUUAUUGAGAACAAGUACAUCUGUCAUCUGAUCAACCGCCUGGUAAUGAGAGCGUAGUAAUGCCGCUAUCCCUUACUGCUGGACUCCUUGUGGAAUAAACUUUAUUUAUCUGUCAUAUUUGUCAGUCUGAAGCAUUAAUAAAAAAAAUUAUUAUA